CACUGGGAUUCCAUUGAAGAGGGCCCGGGAGAAGCCAGUCCCAGGCCCCUUGCUGCCCAUUCCUCACAGUUCCAAGGCUAAGGGCAGCACUGACGGACAGCCCGUGUUGCAGUCGGGGCAUGAGGACCCAGCUCCAGUGCCAUCUGUCCAUCCCUGCCUGGGCUCCUGCUGCCUCCAGUUCCUUGUCCUCCCCCACCCUGGAGCACCUCUGCCUGGCAUCUUCACCCUUCUUGGAGAAUCCACAGCUUCUCCUGUGCACUCCGAGCUCCACUCCUUACAGAACAGACCCAUGGCCAUGUGCCAAGGACAUCUUCUGGGCUGUCUACUCCCUGCAUCCACAGGGACCCACAGAAGCAAAGAGCAGUCCUCCCAAGCCUCCUGGGGUCCAAUGCCUCCUGUUCAGGGUUUGACUCUGAUAUUCCCAUGUUGAAAUUCCAGCCUCUGUAGCUCCAGAUGUGAGCUUAUUUGGAAAUAGAGCUCGAGCAGACAUAAAUAAUGGGUACCAGGGGUAGGACUGGACCCCAGUCCAAGGACGGGUCCUCUUAGGAAAGGCCCUUAUAUUUGGACACAGACACAUGAACAGUGACUACGGCACAUGCAAACAAAGACAGAGACCAGUAUGAUACUGGAACAUGCCAAGGGACACCAAAGAUCACAGAAUAUCAGACAGGCAGGGAUCCUGGGGCACACCCUGCCUCUUACCUCAGCAGGAGGCAAGGGACUCUGACUUCAGACCUGUGAUCCAGUUCUGGAGACA
rnacentral:lncRNA from 1 species